GAUUCGGUGAACUAGUGGUUAGAACGUCGGCCUCGGAUGCGGGAAGUCACGGGUUCGAUCCACGGCCGGGUCA